CUUUUUUAACCAAUAAUUAAGAGACCAAAGUGCGGUUGCUUCAUAUGUGAUGUGCUAUCUUUUAUAAAUUUAUGCAUGAAUUGUCCCUCCCUUAAUAUUUUUUGCUUUCAUUUGGUUUUAUUUGUUUUAUGGUUGCAGGAGUAGGAUCGAUUUAAGAUAACAAACCACUUUUGCUGCUGGGGCGGAUGCCAUUUUGGCCCUCUGGUAUGUAUCUUCUUUUUCAUGUGUUGUCUUCUCUUGGUUUUCAGCACCAAUCAAUCAUCUUGGCUUCUUAGCCUUUAGAGCCAGCGGAGUACAAAUUGGUAAUUGUCCUAUAUGGUUUAACGUAAUAAUAAAAUUUGAUGAAAUGUUUAACAAAUCACUUUAUUAGAAUCAUAAACUUGUUGCAAACAUAAUAUCAGUUAACAACACUUUUGGUCAGUAAUUGAAGGGUUAGCUCACAUUUCAAUGGGUCCAUGCCUCUUCAAUUUGGUUAAUUUGAUCCAUGUGGUUUAAUCCGUUAACAAUCAAAUUCCUCUCAAAUGGGCUUUAAGUUUACGCGGUAAAUUACACAUUUGGUUCCUUCAAGGGAGAAUGACACUUACGAGCUCCUGCGCGUACGAAAGACCAAGAUUUGUUGACCAAGAUUUGUCAAUGGAUUCCAGGAAAAGAAAAAAGAAAAAAAGAAAAAGAAAAAAAAAGAGAAGAUUGUUAACGGAUUAUAAAACAUGGAAAUCAAAUUGGCCAAAUUUAAAGCGUAAGGACCAAAAUUGAAAUUCUAGCUAAACAGAAAAAGGACCAAAAAUGCCUUCGAUCCUUAAAUCAAACAGUUGGUGCGUGUGGCAUCUUCUUGGCGCCUAGCUGGUCAAAGUGGGGGAAUAAUGUAAGUUGGUGUACUCUUACGCAAAGUUGAGUUUCAAGUUAUUAUGCGUGACUGCUAUUUUGUCAUUUUGGAUCGAGUUGUCAGACUGCCGGUGUAAUGCGGACAACAUGGUUCAAGUAAUCGUAUAUGAGAUAAGCAGACACGAGUUAGAUAAGUUGGCUAGGAC
rnacentral:lncRNA from 1 species